CCCUUAGAUGUCCUGGGCCGCACGCGUGCUACACUGACACUUACACCGAGUUUUUCCAAUGCCGAAAGGCCAUUGGUAAUCAGCAAUAAGUGUCGUGAUUGGGAUAGACCUUUGCAAUUAUGGGUCUUCAACGAGGAAUUCCUAGUAAACGCAAGUCAUCAGCUUGCAUUGAUUACGUCCCUGCCCUUUGUACACACCGCCCGUCGCACCUACCGAUUGAAUGGUCCGGUGAAAUCUCGGGACGGCGGCUUGGUCGCUUGCGUCCGACUGCUGAAACUUGAUUAAACCAUAUCAUUUAGAGGAAGGUGAAGUCGUAACA
rnacentral:rRNA from 1 species